rnacentral:rRNA from 1 species
GCUUACGGCCACACCGGCCUGAGUACGCAUGAUCUCGUCCGAUCUCGGAAGCUAAGCAGGGUCGGGCCUGGUUAGUACUUGGAUGGGAGACCGCCUGGGAAUACCAGGUGCUGUAAGCU